rnacentral:rRNA from 1 species
UACAGAGGGUGCAAGCGUUGCUCGGAAUUAUUGGGCGUAAAGGGUAGGUAGGUGGUCUCAUUUGUCGGGGGUGAAAGCCUUGGGCUUAACCCAAGAAGUGCCUUCGAAACGGUGAGACUAGAGUUCUGGAGAGGGUCGUGGAAUUCCCGGUGUAGCGGUGAAAUGCGUAGAGAUCGGGAGGAACACCAGAGGCGAAGGCGGCGACCUGGAUAGAUACUGACACUCAACUACGAAAGCGUGGGGAGCAAACAGGG